AAUAUGGCGUACGCCAAUUAUUCGAAUAAUCGAAAGAUAAUGAGGCGUACGCCUCCUAUCCUUUUAUUUAGAAUUUGUAAUUGAUUUAAAAGAAAAUGUGAUUUGAAUAUGAUGGUUGGAGUUUAAAAAUGAUUUGAAUUUAAAAAUUAUAUUUACUUUGGAGCAAGUGAUUUGAAAUUAUAUGAUUAAGGUUUAAUCGGGUGACAAGAACUCGAGCAAUAUAGCGUACGCCAAUUAUUCAAGUGCUUCAGAAAUAGUGAAGCGUACGCUUCCUAUCUCCUUUUCAUCCCAAGAUUUAUGUUAAGAAUAUUCUUAAGUGUUAUAUUAAUUUAGAAAAAUGGUUUGAUUUUCGUACGAUUAAUGUUUUGAUUGGACGACGAGAAUUCAAGCAAUAUGGCGAACGCCGAUUAUUCGAAUGAUCGAGAGAUAACGAAGCGGAAGCUUACUAUACCCUUUUUCGUCCAAAUAUUUAACUUAUAAAAAUAAAGUUCUUUUUGGAGUGUAUGGAUAGGAAAAUGAUUUGGAUUCGACUUUGUUAGAAUCUCUCGGGUCUUAAAUGGAUUACUUGGUGUUGGACCAAGAUAAUUAAAUUGUUUUGAAACAAUAAAAAUGGAUUAUUUACUUUGUAUUAGUAACUAAAUUCUUAUUUAAUUAAUUAUAAUAUUCUAAUGAAACAAAUGAAACAUGAAUAAAGACUCAAUAAUUAUUACUACUAUUACCAAUUAUACUUGUGUUUUUUAAGUAUACACAUGAGUUAAAAAUAUAAAAGAGAAAGAAAACAAAAUGGAAUAAACCAAAAGCUGGGGUAAGGCCUGCAUAAGGGGUUAGCUUAAAAAAAAAACAAGCCACAAGGGACCACGAGGCCCAAGGGCGCUUUUCUUCUGUCGGAUUGGGCCGGAAGCCCAUAAAAGCUCCAUCCUAGUGGGAAAACCAAACAGAAUUUAAACCAGCAGAAGAAAAAAGGGCGGAUGCAGCCACGUGGCCCCCACCCAGCUUUGGUACACGAACAAUAUGUGUUGGUAGACGAACAUCUCCAUUAAUCCGUCUUAUUUCCAAUUUUCAAAAGCAGAGUAAUUAUUCAAACCAACACAGUAGCCAAGACCUAGUCUAAAUCGGAACUUGGGAAGGCCAGAUGAGUGACAACACAUUUAAUCUUAAUUAAGGCUAUUAAAACUAUCAUAAUAUAUAAAAGCAAAAUAACACAUUUGGAGAAAGAAAAAAAAAUAAAACAUGCUUGGCUCUUCUCAUGUUCCUAUUAUCCUAUCCCGUCGUUCUCAUCAGAGAGGAGCGGCGGCGCCGCCCCCGAACAUGAAAAUUUUAACACAAACCCACCCUUGAAUUGAUCCCCAAGCUCGAAUCCGAAACCAACUCCCUUUAUAUACCUACCGAUUGCUCUAAUAAAAAACUCAACCUUGAUUUUGCCAAAACCUAUACUAAACAACUACUCCUAAAACAAAAUCUUGAUCUAAUGAACCAAACAAAAUGCAUCAUACAAGAGGAGUUUCUAUGGAAAGCCAAGGUCAAAGCUCGGGUUAAAGACACACAAAGUAAGACUAACCUUCGAUGGAUCUUAAUCGCGCUCAAAUGUGCGUCUUGAUCGUGAAAAAAAGAAAAACAAAAGAAGAAAAGAAAAGUAGCGACCGAGAGUUUACCGAAGGACGGAUCCGCAGGGUAACGACGCUAGUCCAGGGUCUUUUAUGAAGUAUUGCUUUGAUGGGUGCUCUAGGUUUUUAGAAGGAAAAUCUUGUUGUCCAUCUGUUAACCUCUCUCUCUGUUUUUGAAGAACUCUCAAUCUUAGAAAACAACUUCUCCCUUUUUCGAUUUUCUCAUCCCCAGAUUAUGUGGGAUUUUGUUUGUUCCUGUUUUAGAUCAACUUUGACAUGCUUUUCGGAUGUUUAUGUUAAUUUGCUGGGUAAAGCUUUAAUCUUAGUGAUUUAUUUUGUUGUUUUGCAGUUUCUUAAGAGCUUUUGGAAAGUGCUUUUAAAAUAAACUGCUUUUGUUCUCUGCAUAUUACAACUUUGGAAGUGACUUGAUGAAGGUGGCUUGUAAGAAAUGCCAAACUUGGGGGCGCCAACUUUUGGUCACCAACAACACCUUUUUUUAUUUAAUUAGAAAAUGUAAUUAUUUAAGGUUUUCUUUUAAGACAAAUGUGUAUAUUUGGAUUUAUUUGUAACUUAUUGAAUUACAAGUCUAAUAGCAAUUGUAACUUGUUGGAUUUGGGAAAGAAUUGAAUUACUAAAGUGUAUUUUCUAUUA